rnacentral:rRNA from 1 species
ACUCCUACGGGAGGCAGCAGUGGGGAAUAUUGGACAAUGGGGGGAACCCUGAUCCAGCCAUGCCGCGUGUGUGAAGAAGGCCUUUUGGUUGUAAAGCACUUUAAGCGAGGAGGAGGCUACCGAGAUUAAUACUCUUGGAUAGUGGACGUUACUCGCAGAAUAAGCACCGGCUAACUCUGUGCCAGCAGCCGCGGUAAUACAGAGGGUGCAAGCGUUAAUCGGAUUUACUGGGCGUAAAGCGCGCGUAGGUGGCCAAUUAAGUCAAAUGUGAAAUCCCCGAGCUUAACUUGGGAAUUGCAUUCGAUACUGGUUGGCUAGAGUAUGGGAGAGGAUGGUAGAAUUCCAGGUGUAGCGGUGAAAUGCGUAGAGAUCUGGAGGAAUACCGAUGGCGAAGGCAGCCAUCUGGCCUAAUACUGACACUGAGGUGCGAAAGCAUGGGGAGCAAACAGGAUUAGAUACCCUGGUAGUCCAUGCCGUAAACGAUGUCUACUAGCCGUUGGGGCCUUUGAGGCUUUAGUGGCGCAGCUAACGCGAUAAGUAGACCGCCUGGGGAGUACGGUCGCAAGACUAAAACUCAAAGGAAUUGACGG